rnacentral:rRNA from 1 species
UACGGGAGGCAGCAGUGGGGAAUAUUGCACAAUGGGCGCAAGCCUGAUGCAGCCAUGCCGCGUGUAUGAAGAAGGCCUUCGGGUUGUAAAGUACUUUCAGUCGUGAGGAAGGUGUUAAGGUUAAUAACCUUAGCAAUUGACGUUAGCGACAGAAGAAGCACCGGCUAACUCCGUGCCAGCAGCCGCGGUAAUACGGAGGGUGCGAGCGUUAAUCGGAAUUACUGGGCGUAAAGGGCACGCAGGCGGUUAAUUAAGUUGGAUGUGAAAUCCCCGGGCUUAACCUGGGAAUGGCAUUCAAGACUGGUUAGCUAGAGUCUUGUAGAGGGGGUAGAAUUCCAUGUGUAGCGGUGAAAUGCGUAGAGAUGUGGAGGAAUACCGGUGGCGAAAGGCGGCCCCUGGGACAAAGACUGACGCUCAUGUGCGAAAGCGUGGGGAGCAAAACAGGAUUAGAUACC